AUUACAACCACCUCUUCACACAGUUUACAAAGGAGUAUCUCUAUUACUUCUUUAUCCUCCCCUAAAAAUGAAUGCUACACACAGUGUAUGGAGGACAGUGGUUAUGGUGCCAUGAGUGGCUUGUUGUUCACCCCUCCCCCCAUGUAAGUAGUUAAAAUCAUUUAAUAACAGUUUUACUUCUCAUCUGGAGUCGCACCCUCCCUCUGCCGCAGUCUUCUCUCAGCCGUACGCUCUCGCCAUUAAAGCCUGGCAGUGGAGGCUUAGCUGAGAACAAUCAGCUGAUGCACGCACCCAAUAAACUGGCCAUGCAUUGCAGGGCUUAGCUCAGGUGAGCCAAUGAAAGCUGCUAAGUGGAGGCUGAAAGGAGACAGGGAGUGGAGUCUGGCAGACAACAAAUUACAAAAUCAAAAUGGUUUGACUGCUUAAAUUGUGUGCAUACUACAAGAGAGCAAAUCACAGUGGUCAACUGAGGCCUCAAAUCUCUAUGGAUGGCUCCCAGGAAGCUCACACAGCUUGGUCAACUGAGUGCAUUUCUGGGUCGUCUCCUUGUGAGGCAGCAGUAGACCAGUACGUGCUGAUAUCAGUGUGUUCUGGGUACAGCAAUAGCCUCCAAUCCUGCAACGUGGGCUGAGAGGUUGGAACGCCACAACACUGUAUCACAGCACGGUCAGCCUCUGUAAUGUUGUAACUGGAUAUUUCAUGCCCGAGAAACACAGCAACACAGAGCGACAUGCUCUUAUGCUCUGAAUUCCACUUACCACCAAAAGCAGUCUAUAACUAAGGGCAUCACCCAACAUCAGCAUGGUGUCACGGUAAUUUGAUGCCUGGGGCACGGCCAGUGUGGGCUAUUACUGGGCUGCCUUGCUAGUGAGGAGGUAACUCAUAACCAGCUUAUUGUUAAAAUAAUACAGGGAUAUUAUAUGCUUUAAUGCUGUGAAUUUAAAAUGCAAAAAAUAAAAACCAGAGAAAAUGCAGAUCCCAUCAAAAAUGUUGCAAUCAUGUUACAUGCUAUGUCAGUCCAGCAUCAUAUCCUGCAUCCUGUAUAAGCCUAACCCCAUGCCAAACUGUAUCCUCUGAGGCACUCUGGGUACUGUAGCUCUCAGAGGAUGCUGGGAGUUGUAGUUCACAUGAGGAUGCUGGGAGUUGUAGUUUAAUGCAAUUCUCAGUGAAGGCAAAGUAAAGACUAGGUUUAUGACAAAAAGAGAAGAAAGAACAAAUAAUGUGAGUAUCUGCUGAUUACAGGCCUAUAAAUAACAGAGAGAAUUUACUGAGAAAAGGAGGGGGACAGUCGACUUGUGAUAAGCAGAUGUUGAUCACUAGACUGCUGGAAACAGAGUGACAGUGUGAGUGCUACUGAUACUGGAUGGUAGACUGUUAGCAACAUAUGCUGCUUAUCAUGUCAUGUGACUGCUGGAGGAUGAUGAUGAUGAUGUUCAUCAGGGUGGUAUUCCUAAAUCUUAACCCUAUUCUUAUCCAAAAUUCUAACCCUAUCCUUGUCCCUAAUUCUAAUUCUAACUCUAUCCCUCACCCUACCCCUAACACUAACCUUCAUCCUAACCCCCACCCUAUCUCUAACUCUAUCACUAACCAUCAUUCGAUCACUAACUCUAUCCCUAACCCUCCACCCUUACCCUAACUCUACCCGUAUCCCUCACCCAACCCCUAACUCUGUCCCUUAUUCUCACCCUACCCCUAACACUAUCUUUAUCCCUUGCCCUAUCCCUAAUUUUAACACUAUCCCUUAACCUCAUCCUACCCCUAAUUUUAACUCUAUCCAUAUCCCUCACCUACCCCUAACUCUAUCCCUUAUCCUAACCGUACCCCUAACUCUAAACCUUACCCAAUCCCUAACUCUAAACCUAACGCUCACCCUAUUCCUAAUCCUCACCCUAACACUAACUCUAUCCCUAACUCCAAACCUAACGCUCACCCUUUCCCUAAAUCUAACCCUUUACCUAAUUCUCACUCUAUCCCUGACUAUAAACCUAUAAAUCCUCACCCUAUCCAUAACUGUGAUCCUAUCCCUAAUCCUCACCCUAACCCUCACAUCUAACCCUAUCUAUAACCGUCACCCUACCAUUUAUUAUUAAACAGUACAGUAUAUUAAUACAUCAUGAUACAUUAUUUUGUUGCCUCUCUUCGGGUAAGUAGACUGAACAUGUGGCAGCCCGACCCAUCCCAUUCUGUAAUGUCUCCUGAAUUCAGAUUUAUUACAGUUAACAGUUUAUUCUGUUGAAGAAAGAGUAAUGCAUUUGUUAUCUGCAUGCAUUAUUUUCAUGUGCCCGAUCUACACAUAUUAAUCUUAAGCCCUCAAUCACCCCUUUCUCUCCAUAGAACGCCUCUUCCACCCCGUGUCAAGAGGACUGAAAGAAAGGCCAACAUGUACAAGAUUAAACGCACUCACAAUGAACUUGUAAUUAAAACAUUUAAGCAGAUAUAUGAGUCCUUAUACAGACAUCCCGACUAUCACAUUGGAGCAAUAACGCCUCCCCCCCCUUGGGGACAGGCAGGUUCCCUAACGCGAGUUGUGCCAUGGACGAAAAUGUCCGAUCUUCAAGUCUUAGUUGCAGCUACACUAACCAUAGCUAGGUUUGAUGAAAAUAUGCAUUAUUCUUCAGCAGUGUUCUACUGAAAUGAUUUAUGUAAAGAAAAUAUUAGGUGUUGGGUUCACUUCAACAUCUAUUUUAAGUCUUCUGUACCAAUGAGAGUAUUGUUACAGGCUGUGAUAGUUCAUUCGCUGCGUUGGGAUAUUUUGAAUGAAUAAUCGAAAUCAGGUUUUAUCAUUUCUGUCAUUAAUUUGUAUCCUUG